rnacentral:tRNA from 1 species
GCGGCCGUGGCACAACCCGGUACUGCGUCGGUCUCGAAAACCGAUUUCCGCAAGGAUAUCCCGGUUCAAAUCCGGGCGGCCGCG